rnacentral:rRNA from 1 species
CGCCUCUUGCUAACAAAGGAAGUACUAGAGGUCCCGCCUGCCCUGUGACCACAAAGUUUAACGGCCGCGGUAUCCUGACCGUGCGAAGGUAGCGUAAUCAUUUGUCUUUUAAAUAGAGACCUGUAUGAAUGGCAUAACGAGGGUUUAACUGUCUCCUUCCCCUAGUCAAUGAAAUUGAUCUGCCCGUGCAGAAGCGGACAUAAACACAUAAGACGAGAAGACCCUAUGGAGCUUUAGACAAAAGAUCAAACAUGUAAAGAAACCAAACCAACCAAAAGGAACACGAAGGCCACAAAACCCAACGUAAACUGAUCUAAAUGUCUUCGGUUGGGGCGACCAUGGGGGAAAGAAAAGCCCCCACGAGGAACAGGGACAACCCUAAACUAAGAGAGACACCUCUAAGCAACAGAAAAUCUG